UACGUAGGUGGCGAGCGUUGUCCGGAAUUAUUGGGCGUAAAGCGCGCGUAGGCGGCUUGUCAGGUCCGACGUGAAAUCCCGGGGCUCAACCCCGGACGUGCGUCGGAAACCGGCUUGCUUGAGUCUGGGAGAGGGAAGUGGAAUUCCUGGUGUAGCGGUGAAAUGCGCAGAUAUCAGGAGGAACACCGGUAGCGAAGGCUGCUUCCUGGAACAGUACUGACGCUGAGGCGCGAAAGCUAGGGGAGCGAACAGGAUUAGAUACCCCCGUAGUCCCUGAG
rnacentral:rRNA from 1 species